CAAGCAGCGUGGGGAUUACUUUCUCUCAGUCAAGAAUCUUAGCUUUCUAGAAAUUUUCAAACCCAUUGAAUAAAUCUAACUAAUAUUCUCAACUGUUCGGAUAAAUCGAUCAUCCUCUGUAAACUGACUGAUCUCCAACGUAGAUCGACUGACAUCCGAUUCUGAUCCCAUAAACAGAUAUGACUCUGAAAAUGAUUACCGACCGAACAUCAACUAAA
rnacentral:lncRNA from 1 species